AGUGAGGAAUAUUGCACAAUGGGGGGAACCCUGAUGCAGCAACGCCGCGUGGAGGAUGACGCAUUUCGGUGUGUAAACUCCUUUUAUAUGUCAAGAAAAUGACGGUAGCAUAUGAAUAAGCACCGGCUAACUCCGUGCCAGCAGCCGCGGUAAUACGGAGGGUGCAAGCGUUACUCGGAAUCACUGGGCGUAAAGGACGCGUAGGCGGGUUGGUAAGUCAGAUGUGAAAUCCUACAGCUUAACUGUAGAACUGCAUUUGAAACUACUAACCUAGAGUAUGGGAGGGGGAGAUGGAAUUAGUGGUGUAGGGGUAAAAUCCGUAGAUAUCACUAGGAAUACCGAAAGCGAAGGCGAUCUCCUGGAACAUUACUGACGCUAAGGCGUGAAAGCGUGGGGAGCAAACGGGAUUAGAUACCCCGGUAGUCCACGCCCUAAACGAUGUUCACUAGUCGUCGGGAUGCUAGUCAUCUCGGUGAUGCACUUAACAGAUUAAGUGAACCGCCUGGGGAGUACGGUCGCAAGAUUAAAACUCAAAGGAAUAGACGGGGACCCGCACAAGUGGUGGAGCAUGUGGUUUAAUUCGAAGAUACGCGAAGAACCUUACCUAGCCUUGACAUUGAUAGAUACACCAGAGAUGGAGUAGUGCCUUUCGGGGAACUUGAAAACAGGUGCUGCACGGCUGUCGUCAGCUCGUGUCGUGAGAUGUUGGGUUAAGUCCCGCAACGAGCGCAACCCUCGUCCUUAGUUGCCAGCAGGUUAAGCUGGGCACUCUAAGGAGACUGCCUUCGUAAGGAGGAGGAAGGUGAGGACGACGUCAAGUCAUCAUGGCCCUUAUGGCUAGGGCUACACACGUGCUACAAUGGGGCGUACAGAGUGUUGCGAUACCGCGAGGUGGAGCUAAUCACUUAAAGCGUCUCUCAGUUCGGAUAGCAGUCUGCAACUCGACUGCUUGAAGCUGGAAUCACUAGUAAUCGUAGAUCAGCAAUGCUACGGUGAAUACGU
rnacentral:rRNA from 1 species